UACGGGGGGGGGUAAGCGUUGUUCGGAAUUACUGGGCGUAAAGGGCUCGUAGGCGGCCAACUAAGUCAGACGUGAAAUCCCUCAGCUUAACUGGGGAACUGCGUCUGAUACUGGAUGGCUUGGAUUCGGGAGAGGAAUGCGGAAUUCCAGGUGUAGCGGUGAAAUGCGUAGAUAUCUGGAGGAACACCAAUGGCGAAGGCAGCUCGCUGGGACGUGACUGACGCUGAGACGCGAAAGCGUGGGGAGCAAACAGG
rnacentral:rRNA from 1 species